rnacentral:lncRNA from 1 species
AUGGCGGGAUUGUUGUUAGGAAAGCAGCCGACAGACGAACCACCCUCCAGAAAGGGCAAACAUACUACUCCCGACUGGACUGUUCCCGCCAACCGCCCGAGCAAACUGCCGCGCCACGCCGCUGCUCCCGGCUCCGCCCCCGCGGCGUCCGAACGCCGCUGGCACGCGGGGAACGAUGGCGCCCGGCAGCUGAGCCCUGAGGGAGGUAUACCUCAGCCAGCCGAGGCGAUUCCCUGCUUUGGCGGGGAAUGCGUCCUUCCGCUUUUACCAGUGUUUCUUAGAAUGCAGUUGGAGAAACAUUACAAAACCAGGAUACGUUCCCUUUCCUUGAAUUUGUGAGACGUGCAGCUCGUUUUCAGAGUACUCUCUCACCCUCCCACUUUUGCAGUUCAUGAGCGCUGGUCUUUUGAAGCCUAGGUAUGCCACCUUCCCUUGUCUAUGAACUAACACAGGCUCACGAAAUCGUUUUUCUACGUUGUUAAUUACGUUGUAAUCUUUAGUUGCAAUUACACGUUAUAGGCUGGAGAGGGUGUAAGAGGGCCUGUUUCUGUACUGUUUACUUCCCAGAAGAGGAGGCAUCCUGAGAAAACUAUUGAUGAACCCUGAGACCACAGGGAUGGAAGAGGGGAGAAAGCUCUUGAGCCGGUUGUGCUACCUACUUCAAUAUUUAUUUCUCACUUUCCAUAGCUCCCUCACAAGCCAUUAUAUUAAUUUUCCCGUGUCUGUGCUAUACUUUUUUUUUUUUUUUUUCCCCCAGAGGACACUGUUCAAAUGCUAUUCACUUCAAGAGCUGACUAAAAGGUGGAGUUGUAUGGAGUUUUUCUUAUAUUAAAAAAUUUUCAUUCCAAAGAUCUCCAAGGUGAUUUAUUAAAAAAAAUAAUACAAGUAUUAAUUGAUUCAGCUUCAAAAUUCCUUCAUAUCAUAGAUGUGUAAUAUUUUUUUAACUCUUCCUUUUUUUUUUAAAUAUACUGGAGGACACAACAAAUGACUUGUCCUAGGUAUACCUCAUUUUGCGUCAGAACCAAAGUCUGUGGUAGACCUAAGAAAAGACUGAAGAGAUAUCUUUGUUCACAAAAUCAGUUCUGUUCUGAUAUGCUAUGUGCAGCAAUAUAGGAUGGGGAAGAAGAGGAGAUAAUGGGAAGUAGUUAACAUAUUGAUUCAGUUAAGAAGGUGGUCUUGCUUUCUAAUUUUUUUCCAUCCAACUUCUUUUCAGGCACAUGUGUAGGAAAAACAUGGGGGAAAAAUAUUGUGCCUGGAAGUCUAAUGUGGGAUAUAGGCUGGGUGAACAUUUCAGCCUUAACUGAUGUGCAUUCUUCUUUGCUUCAUCUUCCAUUUCCUA